rnacentral:rRNA from 1 species
CGUAGGGUGCGAGCGUUAAUCGGAAUUACUGGGCGUAAAGCGUGCGCAGGCGGUUUUGUAAGACAGGCGUGAAAUCCCCGGGCUCAACCUGGGAACUGCGCUUGUGACUGCAAGGCUAGAGUACGGCAGAGGGGGGUGGGAACUCCACGUGUAGCAGUGAAAUGCGUAGAGAUGUGGAGGAACACCAAUGGCGAAGGCAGCCCCCUCGGGUCGAUACUGACGCUCAUGCACGAAAGCGUGGGUAGCAAACAGGAUUAGAUACCCUGGUAGUCCACGCCCUAAACGAUGUCAACUAGGUGUUGGGUGGGUAAAACCAUUUAGUACCGGAGCUAACGCGUGAAGUUGACCGCCUGGGGAGGUACGGCCGCAAGGUUA